rnacentral:rRNA from 1 species
UGGGGAAUUUUGCACAAUGGGGGAAACCCUGAUGCAGCGAUGCCGCGUGAGUGAAGAAGGCCUUUGGGUUGUAAAGCUCUUUCGUCGGGGAAGAAAAUGACUGUACCCGAAUAAGAAGGUCCGGCUAACUUCGUGCCAGCAGCCGCGGUAAUACGAAGGGACCUAGCGUAGUUCGGAAUUACUGGGCUUAAAGAGCUCGUAGGUGGUUAGAAAAGUUGGUGGUGAAAUCCCAAGGCUUAACCUUGGAACUGCCAUCAAAACUUUUUGACUAGAGUAUGAUAGAGGAAAGUGGAAUUUCUAGUGUAGAGGUGAAAUUCGUAGAUAUUAGAAAGAACACCAAUUGCGAAGGCAACUUUCUGGAUCAUUACUGACACUGAGGAGCGAAAGCAUGGGUAGCGAAGAGG